GUUCUUUCUUUAUGUAGGGUGGGUAAGAAGAAAGAGGUGCUGGCGGUUGUUUGCAAAGACCCCCCCCUCCCUCUGCUUCCCCCCCCCCUUUGGCAUCACAGGGAGAGGGAGAGAGGCGCGCGCACAUACCUUCAUCUCUUCAUUGAUUUCCCUUUUCACGGGGCAGAAAUCUUAGGCGCGCACAUAUUGGAACCCCCGCUACACUUCUUCAGCUUUAGCGCGCCUGGCCCUCAGGAAAUCCUUCGCUUGCCCCAGGAAGGAGAGAAAAUCUCUUCCAUUGUUGAAUUUGAGCCAUCAAGGCUUUGUUCUAGAACUUGCUUUCAACACCAAUACUUUAAUUCUGGGACAUAUGAAGAAGUGGGAAGAAAGUGCGUCUGAACGCGUGCGGAGCCGCCUUUGCCUGAUUGGCCAAGUAAUCACACACAGCAGGGCCUCAUUGACGCGGUGUAUUAAAAAGUGACAUUGCCUUGGCAUGUUCCUUGAACCUUUGUCUCUGUGAUUACCCAGGUAUGAGUUUCAAAAGCCACGAGAUCAAUCUUGUGUCCUGUUUCCAUCUCCGUCUCCUCUGCCAACCUGCCCCCAAAUAACUCGCGUUUGCACAAGGGAGGCGAUCGCGCUGGUUUCCAAAGACUCCGAAUGUAAAAGGCGUCCAUUCCCAUUUGCCACCCUCCCUGCCUUCUGUUUUCCUCUUCCUCUCCUUGCACAUUCGAUUAUGUAUCAAUCCAGUUUAAUUCUCUGUAAGAUUGCUCUUAUUUCCCUCUUUUAUUUCUGGGGGAAGUGACAAUGAAUGGUGUGGUAGGAGUUACUAGAGAAACAAGGCACUGAAUUAUGGUACACAGUGAAGUGGGAUACAUUGAUUAUUCCCUGUUCUUGCUUUGCUACUCUCUGGCAGUUCAUAAUUGCCUGAUACAAUACAAUAUGGGGGUGUCCAUUGUUCCAUUAGUCAAAAUUGUAAUUGUAAUGGAAUUUGUCGUCAUGAUGGCAGUUGAGCUUAAAAUUAUACACUUAAAAAUAUAAAGAUAGAGUGAGUUCUGUGUGGGUAUGAGAAGGCUCUAAAUAAAAAAAUCUUUUUAGUCUG